rnacentral:precursor_RNA from 1 species
UGUUUGCCAUUCUUCGUCUGUGAUACGUGGUGACCUAGGACGAUGAUGAGAUACACU